GACGAACGCUGGCGGCGUGCUUAACACAUGCAAGUCGAACGGAAAGGCCCUGCUUUUGUGGGGUGCUCGAGUGGCGAACGGGUGAGUAACACGUGAGUAACCUGCCCUUGACUUUGGGAUAACUUCAGGAAACUGGGGCUAAUACCGGAUAGGAGCUCCUGCUGCAUGGUGGGGGUUGGAAAGUUUCGGCGGUUGGGGAUGGACUCGCGGCUUAUCAGCUUGUUGGUGGGGUAGUGGCUUACCAAGGCUUUGACGGGUAGCCGGCCUGAGAGGGUGACCGGCCACAUUGGGACUGAGGUACGGCCCAGAAUCCUACGGGAGGCAGCAGUGGGGAGUAUUGCACAAUGGGCGGAAGCCUGAUGCAGCAACGCCGCGUGCGGGAUGACGGCCUUCGGGUUGUAAACCGCUUUCGCCUGUGACGAAGCGUGAGUGACGGUAAUGGGUAAAGAAGCACCGGCUAACUACGUG
rnacentral:rRNA from 1 species